GCUUACGGCCACACCGGCCUGAGUACGCCUGAUCUCGUCCGAUCUCGGAAGACUAAGCAGGGUCGGGCCUGGUUAGUACUUGGAUGGGAGACCGCCUGGGAAUACCAGGUGCUGUAAGCU
rnacentral:rRNA from 1 species